rnacentral:rRNA from 1 species
GACGUAGGGCGCGAGCGUUGUCCGGAUUUAUUGGGCGUAAAGAGCUCGUAGGCGGCUUGUCGCGUCGAAUGUGAAAACCUGCAGCUCAACUGCAGGCUUGCAUUCGAUACGGGCAGGCGUCGAGUUCGGUAGGGGAGACUGGAAUUCCUGGUGUAGCGGUGAAAUGCGCAGAUAUCAGGAGGAACGACCGAUGGCGAAGGCAGGUCUCUGGGCCACUACUGACGCUGAGGAGCGAAAGCAUGGGGAGCGAACAGG